rnacentral:rRNA from 1 species
UGGAGAGUUUGAUCCUGGCUCAGAUUGAACGCUGGCGGCAGGCCUAACACAUGCAAGUCGAGCGGCAGCGGGAAAGUAGCUUGCUACUUUUGCCGGCGAGCGGCGGACGGGUGAGUAAUGCCUGGGGAUCUGCCCAGUCGAGGGGGAUAACAGUUGGAAACGGCUGCUAAUACCGCAUACGCCCUACGGGGGAAAGCAGGGGACCUUCGGGCCUUGCGCGAUUGGAUGAACCCAGGUGGGAUUAGCUAGUUGGUGGGGUAAUGGCUCACCAAGGCGACGAUCCCUAGCUGGUCUGAGAGGAUGAUCAGCCACACUGGAACUGAGACACGGUCCAGACUCCUACGGGAGGCAGCAGUGGGGAAUAUUGCACAAUGGGGGAAACCCUGAUGCAGCCAUGCCGCGUGUGUGAAGAAGGCCUUCGGGUUGUAAAGCACUUUCAGCGAGGAGGAAAGGUUGAUGCCUAAUACGCAUCAGCUGUGACGUUACUCGCAGAAGAAGCACCGGCUAACUCCGUGCCAGCAGCCGCGGUA